UACAAAGACUGCAAGCGUUAUUCGAAUUCACUGGGCGUAAAGGUUGCGCAGGCGGCCAAGUGUGUCAGGUGUGAAAUCCCGGGGCUUAACUCCGGAACUGCGCCUGAAACUACUUGGCUAGAGCAUUGGAGAGGGAAGUGGAAUUCACGGUGUAGCAGUGAAAUGCGUAGAUAUCGUGAGGAACACCAGAGGCGAAGACGACUUCCUGGACAAUUGCUAACGCUCAGGCACGAAAGCGUGGGGAGCCAAAGGG
rnacentral:rRNA from 1 species